rnacentral:rRNA from 1 species
AGUGAACGCUGGCGGUAGGCCUAACACAUGCAAGUCGAACGGCAGCACAGUAAGAGCUUGCUCUUACGGGUGGCGAGUGGCGGACGGGUGAGGAAUACAUCGGAAUCUACUUUUUCGUGGGGGAUAACGUAGGGAAACUUACGCUAAUACCGCAUACGACCUACGGGUGAAAGCAGGGGAUCUUCGGACCUUUCGCGAUUGAAUGAGCCGAUGUCGGAUUAGCUAGUUGGCGGGGUAAAGGCCCACCAAGGCGACGAUGCGUAGCUGGUCUGAGAGGAUGAUCAGCCACACUGGAACUGAGACACGGUCCAGACUCCUACGGGAGGCAGCAGUGGGGAAUAUUGGACAAUGGGCGCAAGCCUGAUCCAGCAAUACCGCGUGGGUGAAGAAGGCCUUCGGGUUGUAAAGCCCUUUUGUUGGGAAAGAAAAGCAGCAGGUUAAUACCCCGCUGUUCUGACGGUACCCAAAGAAUAAGCACCGGCUAACUUCGUG